CAGUACCUCACUGCUCAGCGAGUGAGAUCCUCCUACACUCUCCCUCACACAUCUCCUCCUUGCCUUCAGGCCUUCCUCUUCAGGGUUGUUUUGCCAUCGCACUGCUGCUUUUUCUUGCUCAAGCUCCUACUUGGUGUACUGCCCUGUGCUCACGUGGCCUGCAGCUUCCUCCUCUGCUGGUAGCAUUCAGCGCUGUCACUCCCAGAAGGAUGAGCAGGGUUUCUGCCUCAGCUUCCUUACUUACACAGCCUCAUGGAAGAAGGAAGGAAAGGGAAAUCACUGAGCAUACAUUUAUUGAACAGGAUAGACUUUCUGAAGCUGAAGACUUUAAUUUGCUGCCGAUCAGAAAAGAGAGGAGCUGGCCAUCACAAUCUCACUGAUGGAUAUACCUGAUGGACAAUUUGGCUUUCCCAGCUGUCUCCUGAAGAGCAGAAUUAUGGAGCCCAGAAGACUAAAAUCCAAAAAUCGAGAAUAAAUUUCUCUGGAUGAAUUAGGACCUUGUUUAACUUCCAGCAGAAAAAUGAGGAGUUCUAGAAAAGUUGAUGGACUGCUUUCAAUUUUAUAAUGCAGAAAAACAAGCUGUUAACCUACAGAAAUAAUAACCAUGUGCUGUUGUGACUUGUUCUCUGCUUGUCUUCAGGCCCCGAGUGUUUGUAUUGGGAGAGAAUGCUAACUUUAUUGCUGGUGCCAGGGUUUCCUUUAUUUGCUUUUGACAUUUCACGUGUUUGUACUGUGGUGCCUGGCAACUUAUAUCACAAACUAAUUGGAGUAAGUGAUGAUUAAUAAAAUAAAGAAAAAUGAGGGUCAGCAGUAUGGGAGGGCAGGCAAUAAUAUGGGCCGUGACUCACUGAGGUAUGCAAAAAGCACAGGCGGCGGAAGGAAGGGAGUUAAGAACAGAUCACAUUACUGGCCCACCUCAGCCUCGGUGGGCAGUCAGCUGGCACAGGCAAACUAGAGCCAUUUCUUUAGCCAGUGCAAACAAAGAUGUCACAUGACUGUCCGUGCUUCCCGAGCCUUUGGGUAUGUCUGGUGGGUGGCUGCCGUCUGACUGGAGCCCAUAGGCUGUGGAUGCAGACCAGCUCCAGACAUGAGCUGUGUCGUUGGGUGAGCUUGAUCCCAUGUCUGCCUUUCUGCAGAGCUUGUUUGCUUGAGCACAGUGCUGCACUAACAUUGUGGCACAUCACGCACCUCUGGGCUGACUCGCAUCCGGCAGCCUCUGAGCACGGGCCAGACAAGCAUUCAUCCACCUUCUCACAGCUGCACUGAGCUCUCCCAAACCAGAGCUUUACUACUCGGCUUAUCUGAAAGGUGAUCCAGAUGAAAAUCUCAAGUGCAAGUCCAUUCCUCUUGUUACCUCCAGAGACACAGCACUGCUUUGCCUUCAUUCUCUAAGUGACAAAAAAAGGGGCAGUGAAAGUUAUGCCCCUGAAAGUCCUAACAAGUGGAGGUACUGGAAGACGCACUGUGACAAGGAGGAUGAAUGAAGGUAUCUGCUGCAAUCUAUACUGAGAGAUACAUUUGAGGAACUAGAUUUAGUGUCUUCUUACUGAAUGUGAUUCGCUCUGUUCCUCUCCUUCUAUUCUUUUUCUCCCAGAGGAAUGGUGAGAAUAGGAAACUUCUUUUAACAGCAAAGGAUGCUUCUGUCAGACUGUUAACUCCCUGAGAGUAAUAACAUGGAAACUGUUGUCUGGCAUUUUCUAUGUUGCUUCCACACUUACAAAACAAAGUGUAACAGUGCUACAGUUCCUUCUUUAUGUUGCCAGCUAAAGAAUUGAUGGAGGAAAAAUAAAUAAUUCUCUCUUUUCAAAAUAAAGGCUGAAAUAAAAGAGGUGAUGAGAAAUUUACUUCCUUUGCUUUCCUUCCUUAGCCAAGAAUUCAAGUUCAUUAGGGCAUCUAAGGAAAACAAUGCAGGAAGGCCCUAUAGCAGUGUGCUGUAAACAUUCUCCACGUGAUUUUCCUCCCCUUUACUGAGUUGACCAUGGGCUGCACUCUUAUUAUUUGCUAUUGCAAAUUGUGAAAAGUUUCUCCACUUCCUUAAUUUUAACCUUCUCAGCCCCUGAUGUUCAUUUUAUACUGAAGAAUAACAUUUCAAAUGGAAGAACAAAAUCUUACUUUGUCAUUCUGCUGCCAAUCCUCUGCUCAGCUGUGCAAGAUUUUUCCACCAAUGAAACACAGACCCAAAUACUCACCUCUCAGCAGUAGGCCUCCCUUCAAGAUGUGUCCUGCUGACACCCUUUCUGAUGUAUGCUUGAAACACACUGCAGUCUGCAGUCAUGUCACAUUACCUCACUAAUCAGCACAUAUGACUGCUAUGCCAAUGAACUUAGCCUCCUAUUAACACAGACUAUCCUGAUGCAUAACCUUUUUCAUAAAUUUAAUAGUAUUGUUUGGAAAACUAUUCAGAGUUCUCCCUAUUGCUUUCACUGACCACCUUUCCCUCCAGCAUACCCAGUUAGAAACCAUUUUCUAGCUUGCACUUUUUGCUUCCAGCUUUCCCUACUUUUCUAAACAUUUUAUUUAAGCAAGAGCCUAUCCUACCCCUUUUGGUAUUCUCACACAUGAUUCUCUGCAUCUAAGGCUAGCAGAGAUUCACUUUGCAGUCACUGUAUUUUACAUGCCUGAAGGCAAGUCUGAAACCCCAAAUGGGAAGGCCCAAAGCAAGGUACUGAGCUGAUUUAUUGUCUAAAACACUAAGGGUAGCUGUACUGAGUAGGUUUUGAAUAGUUUGUACUAGGUCAUAAAUAAGACUGUGUUGAGAACAUGGAAGACUGACUCUAAGAAAUCAUGAAGUGUGUUUGUUUAUCUCUAAAGAUAAGUAUUGGGUACCAUCCUUGUAAUGCCCUCUGCGAGAACUGAGCAGAAGAAGGCAAAAACAGUGUUUAGUUUUAGAGGUUAGAGGAUUUUAGCAAUGAUCAGCUUUUUUCAUUCACUUACAUAUGGUCUUACAGGAUGAACAGGUUGUAAGCUGUGUAAAUAGCGUAACAGAAUGUGAACAAAGAGAAAAGACUGGAUAUUUUCCUCAAGCUCAGGAUGUCAGGGCAAAUACAGGCAGCUUUAGAUUGUGUUUUGAUGUACCGUAAGAAGUUUUAAAAAGUUUGUAGUAGGCCAGCAUUGGACAAAUCUGUAUGGUAUGAAUGACUAAAUGAAAUCCAGUGGACCAGAAUAUUGGAAAUUAGAUUUUCUAUACAGUGUGUGAUUUUUGUAUUUUUUUUAGUACACAUCACAAACACAUAUUUAGCAGUAUCAAACUGAAAACAACUUAUUUUUGUGAGCAUGGUACAAAAGGCAAGUAAGCGGCUACUUUUCUACCUGACUUCAUUCUACUUUUCCAUGUCUAGCUGUAAGGUGCUGCAGUCCUAAGAGCAGUCUGAGCUCAGGCAACCUGCAGAUCCCAUCCCAUACUAAUCCUGUGCAGUACACUACUUCAGGAUCCUUCUAGGAGAGUGAUCACAUUUGCUUCAUCUUCCUGCUGCAACUAGAGAAGUACACAAAACAUGUGGCUGCUCUAAUAUGCAGAUAUAGCAAAAGUCCUGUCUUUCUCCUAUGAUAUACACCAAACAAUAUUUACAGAUUGUAUAUAGAAGAGGACUUAAAUCUUUCAGCACAGAUAUAGAGUUCAGUAGCAAGUACUACACCAGUCUAUUCAGAAAAAAAUACUUUGAAAAAUAAAAGAUAAAAAGGUAGAUACAUUUUGAAAAUAUUUCUUGUUUAUUACCACAUCCUCACUGUUUUCUUCAUGACAAAAAAAAAAAAAAAAAAAAAGGUAUACUUUUGUAGAGGUUUACAUCACUGUAGGUUUUUACCAUUUAUUCAUAUAGACUUAGAUGUAGAACGUGUGCCUUACGGCACUCCCAUUGAACACAGAUGCAGGGAUUUGGCUUUGCCUUUAUAAUUGUUUCUGUUAUAAACCCCUAUUUCAGAGUUCAGAUUUUGGUUAUAAAAAAUGCUUCCAGAAUAUAAUCUGGCAUCUAAGGGAUCUGUCAGGGAACAUUUAUUGCUAGUUUGACUUCAGUGUGGCUUUUUUAAGUUACAGAUGUGCUUAAAGAGUAUUAUCCAUGCUUUCAGAUUUCUGAAGAUUUAAGGUAACUUUCAAUUGCAAAUGGAAGUCACCACACUAUAAUGUGGAAUGAAAGCAUUGUGUUUAGAUAAAAAUACCAUAAAAACCCUAAAUGCUCACUUGAGUUUUUUUUCUAAAUAAUGAGUGUAGUUACUUCAUAACAGACUUGCACUAAGGAUAAAUUACAUCCUUGCUGUGCUCAAGGGAAUAUGCUUUUCACUAAGAAAAGUAAAAUGAUCUAGUUUCCUCUAACAUAUUUACUAUGCUUCAAACAGUUAAUCAGAUUAAAACUGCCCAUUCUAGAUAUAUGGGUUUCUGCUAUUCUGGGCUCUCCACAGAUAAACUGAGCCAAUCCCAAAAGUCUUUACUUAUGUCAGCAAAUUUGAAGUCUGCAUGGAAGAGCAAUUUCCUUGGCAUCUGAGAAACACGACAAUUUUGUCAAAAAACUCUGACUGAAAUCUUUUAUCUAUUGUAGAGCUUAAGCAUCCCAGAGGUAUUGCUUGGACUCUUUGACAAGGGUCCAGAAUUAGCCAUACACACAACGAAGGUACGUCUGCUUAAUCAGUCACUCCUAUUUGUAGUAGUACUUAACAAAGUUGGGUCAGGCAGGUGGUGAGGCCCACUUGACAUGCUGAAUUACUUCUUCCUGGCAUAUAUUAAGUUGCACCUGGAGCAAAAGAAUGAAUUGUCUGAUGCUGUUGCAUUUCAUCACCUAUAGCAACUGACAUAAUAAAAAACGCUUUUAAAUGAUCUUCCUGAGGCCUAAGGUUUCAAAAUUUUUCUGGGAUUUGAAUAUGCCUCUAGAAGAAAAUAUCUCCUGGUCACAACUAGUAGGUGAAACAGCUGAGAGUGUUAUUCAAUAAAAAGCAUCAUUCUUAAUGUUAGAAGAGCUCAACAUUCACCCAAAAAGCCAGUACUGCUAAAAGCAAUGCCUGGGAAGAUGCAUAAGGGAGGUAAAGUUUAUCCAUGUGAAAAAAAGCAAAAAGAAGAAUAAACUCAAACUUCCAUCAUUACAUCAGAAAAUGCACACUUUGUAAUAGCAGUAAGAGAUAAAAGAUUUAAAUUCUUUCUACUCUGCAGAAAAAAAUGCUCUGGUACUGAAAUGAUAUUGAACAUCAGAGUAAUAUAAAUGUCACACAUAACCACACUAUUGACUUUGCAGUAUCUUUAUUUACAAAAAGUUGGUGCAAAUGACUGUGUCUUCAAUUUCU
ensembl:lncRNA